GCCUGGGUGGCUCAGUCGGUUGAGCAUCUGACUUUGGCUCAGGUCAUGAGCUCACAGUUCAUGGGUUCAAGCCCCGCAUCGGGCU
rnacentral:tRNA from 1 species